CUUGGUCAUUUAGAGGAAGUAAAAGUCGUAACAAGGUAUUCGUAGGUGAACCUGCGUAUGGAUCAUUACCGUUUGACUCGUCCGUAUUGACGACGAAAUCUAACCUCGCGCAGUCGUCUGUCACUACUGUGAACAACGAUUGUGUCGCACCAUUAUGAACAUACAGACACUACGUAGUCUGUAAACCUUUUCAUUCAACAAAUCAUUGUUGUUUAUCAUUGAAAAUGUUGAAGAAAGAAACUAAAAAUAUAAUUCUGUACGGUGGAUCACUCGGCUCGUUAUUCGAUGAAGAGCGCAGCAAAGUGCGAGAAAGCAAUGCGAAUUGCAGGACACAUUGAGCAUGAAUAACUCGAACGCAUCUAGCAGCCAAGGCGUCAGCCAAGGCUAAAUUUGCUUCAGUCUUGUUUUUAAUCACAUCAAAUUCAUUUCUUUGAAUGAGUUGCUGGCAAGUUCGAUGAUAAAAAGUCUAGCUUGCGACAUAUAUUUGAGUGUCUGUACUCAAAUACAAGCAGUAUGUUGAACGGAGUUAUACACAUACACACUUCAUUGUGAACUGUCAUAACACGAGAAAUCUUUAUCAUAUCCGCGUUUUUGGCAAUACAUAAAUGUUUGUUUUGUGUCACACACCCUCGAGAUCAUCAAUGAUCAUCAACACAUUUUCAAGCUGAAGUCAAAUUAGAAUACUUGCUGAACUUAAGCAUAUUAAUAAGCAAAGGAAAAGAAAUCAACAGAGAUUGCCUUAGUAAUGGCGAAUGAACCGGCAAAAGCUCAUUGCUGAAGCGUGUCGGGUUUACUCUUGACAUGCGUUGUAGCAUUUGGGGUGGCUACUGUAUGGUACCUGUUCGUGUGAGUUCCUUUGAUCAGGGCUUUAACCAUAGAAGGUGCUAGUCCUAUAAGCACGAACAGUUCUUUGUACUGUACAUUGUACACCUUUUGAGUAGCGUAGUUUGAGAUUGCUACGCCAACGUGGGACGUAAACUUGUCCCAAGGCUAAAUAUGAUAACGAGACCGAUAGCGAACAAGUACCGUGAGGGAAAGUUGAAAAGCACUCUGAAGAGAGAGUUAAACAGUACGUAAAACCGUACAGAAGAAAACGAAUGGCCGCAUCCAUCAGAUUGCUUUGAAUUCAAUUCGAUCUCUACACAAUGGUGAUGCCUGUCGAUCUUCUUGGAACUUCAACAGUCCAUCGACAGUUUGCAAUUGCCUAGAGUCGAGUGCAUUUUCAAAGUAUUAACUGGACCUGGAUCUAUAACAUUGAAAGCUAGUCGAAUCAGCCUGUUUUGGUAGCGAGUUUACUCGCGUUAAAGAUAUGGCUUGCAUAAAUAACAAAUUCGACUUGGCGUUAUAGGUAAAUAGACAUGUGUUCUUUGAUUUCAGUACUUUCGAGUACGGCACGUCAUGAGCAUUGUUUGUGUCACUCGGGCGACUAAUUUCUAACCGAUUUUAGAUUCGUUCGGUUCGUCGAUGCUUAAUGUUUUGUGGCUGUCAAUGAAAUCGGCAAGUCUACAGGAGUCUUGAAUGCCGAGUUAUUCGACCCGUCUUGAAACACGGACC
rnacentral:rRNA from 1 species